CCUACGGGUGGCUGCAGUGGGGAAUAUUGCACAAUGGGCGCAAGCCUGAUGCAGCCAUGCCGCGUGUGUGAAGAAGGCCUUCGGGUUGUAAAGCACUUUCAGCGGGGAGGAAGGCGGUGAGGUUAAUAACCUCAUCGAUUGACGUUACCCGCAGAAGAAGCACCGGCUAACUCCGUGCCAGCAGCCGCGGUAAUACGGAGGGUGCAAGCGUUAAUCGGAAUUACUGGGCGUAAAGCGCACGCAGGCGGUCUGUCAAGUCGGAUGUGAAAUCCCCGGGCUCAACCCGGGAACUGCAUUCGAAACUGGCAGGCUAGAGGCUUGUAGAGGGGGGUAGAAUUCCAGGUGUAGCGGUGAAAUGCGUAGAGAUCUGGAGGAAUACCGGUGGCGAAGGCGGCCCCCUGGACAAAGACUGACGCUCAGGUGCGAAAGCGUGGGGAGCAAACAGGAUUAGAUACCCGAGUAGUC
rnacentral:rRNA from 1 species